rnacentral:rRNA from 1 species
UACGGAGGGUGCAAGCGUUAUCCGGAUUCACUGGGUUUAAAGGGUGUGUAGGCGGAUAUUUAAGUCAGUGGUGAAAUCUCUGGGCUCAACCCGGAAACUGCCAUUGAUACUAUUUAUCUUGAAUUCUGUUGAGGUGGGCGGAAUACAUCAUGUAGCGGUGAAAUGCUUAGAUAUGAUGUAGAACACCGAUUGCGAAGGCAGCUCACUAAACAGAUAUUGACGCUGAGGCACGAAAGCGUGGGGAUCAAACAGG